AAUGAGAAUUAAGCUAAACAGUCCUAAGCCUGAGCCAGUGAUGAAAACUGGUGGCAUAGAAGUCAAGGAUGCUGAAUAAUGUGUGUCUAGAACUCUGAGGUUCA